ensembl:lncRNA
AUGGCAGAAACAGGCAGGUACUCAUGGGAAAUGACACAGUGUGCAUGAUGGGAAUCGUGGAUCGCAGCCGAGGACCAGGAGAGGACGACGUCGCUCCUCGCCGCGUGCGCCCUGCUUGCACCACACCUGCACUUCCCCUCUGUGUGAUAGCGCUGUCCCCCAAAAGCGGCUGCAAAGCUUCCUUGGGCGGCCUGUUCCAGCACGUCACCGCUCUUUUGGAGAAGAAAUGUUUCCUAAUAUCCAUCCUGAACAUCCCCUGGCAUGGCUUGAGGCCGUUCCCUCUCAUCUUCUCGCAGCUGCCCAGGAGAAGAGGCCGACCCCCACCUCGCUACAACCUCCCAGCUGUUGUGUCCACAGUGAGUCCACGGCAGCAGCUCGGGGUGGUGGAAGGCGGCUAUUUGUUUUGGAAGACACACAGUGGUACACAUAUAAAUGCAGGAAAAAGAAGAAUUUAUACAGAGUGGUACCACCAGGUCAAACUCAGAUGCACUGGCAGCUCCCUUAAUCCAAGGUAGGACAUGGACAGCAUGAAUGAAGAGAGGAGGAGGCUGACAGCAAGAGAUUUGCCACCUCAGGCAGGUGAUGUUUCCCACUGAGACCUCCAGUGCUUCCUGGGAGAGGAGAAAAGUGGCACAGACCUGGUGAGGUCCCACCUAAAACAUCACUUGGCCCAAAGGUGGCAUCAAAUCAACCCAUCUCCUGCCUGACACGUGUGUAUUGGUCUAAACAGUUCAAGGAGAUCUCUAACGGGAGGAAUUCUGCAGCUUCCUCACAAUCUGCAGCCUUAUUGUUGGCAAGGUACUCAGGUCUCAGCUGGCUCCAUACUUCCUACAUAGUGACUGUCUUGUGUGAAAAGGGAAGGCGCUGGAAGCCCCAUCACCUUGUGCUAAAAUGUGGAUCUAGAGGCAGGCCAUGGAUGGAUGUGCGCCAGGGUGAAGCAGAGCUCCAAAGGAGUGUGAUACAGAGAUGGAUUACGCAGUCUCAAGCAGGACUGACAAAGUGACCUAGCUGAUGUGGCUUGUGGUCACGAGCAACAAAUUCAGCAGUGAUAUUCCUGGGUAUGGAGCUCAGGUAUUGCAUCUGUACCAAGGAGGCACAAGGGGCCGUUGAGCUGUAGCUCUCUAACUCCUCUGCAAGGCUCAGGAGAUGUGGGAUGCUUUGCUGUUGGCUUGAUAGGAGGAAAUGCUGCUUUCCUGUGAGUGAGUGAAGUUAACCCAAGACAUAGUUUUCAGCACAGAAACACCUUUCCAGCUCUGUUUCAUGGAGAAGAGACCCAACAGCUCCCUGCGAGCUGACCUGAAGCUGCAGGAAUAUUCUGAGGUGGAGUCACGACUAUUAAAGCAAAAACAAGAUGAUGCAAGGACGCAGCUCACUUGGUGUCAGCCUUUCCUGCGGAAACACAAAGAGGGUUUGUUGAUGCCACGUGUAGGCUGCCUCAGGUCGAGUCAUAUUUCUUUCUUUAUGGAGAUGAAGUUAGUCUUUAAGGCACCAGCUCAAAAUGGCCUUUCUUUCAUUACAAAGUUAUUUAGUUACGGGUAGGUAACUCUAAAUGACAUUUCUACAUCUUGCACUUUAUUAGUUGAUCCUAGCUGCUAAAUUACACAGAGUGAGCAGCAGAGUACAGCGGGGGAGUUGAGUGUGUUUUGGCUAAUUUUGGAUGGGGUCCAACCUUCUGGAGUUGGAAAUUUGCCUCCGAGAUGAUGAGCUUGUGCACCUCCCUCGGGGAGGGUUGUGAAGUCAGAAAGCAAAAAGGACUGGUGAAGAAUUAAAAACAAAAGUGUAAACACUGGGCUAUUUCCCUGCUCCCCGGAGAGCUCUGUGAGCACUGAGCUGUGUACUGUUCAGGAGAGGAAAAGCCAGCUCAGCGUCACUGACUUACUCAGAGGGUGAUGAGGCAGUGGUGCCAGCUACCCAGAAAGCUGUGAGUGCCCCCUCCCUGGAGGUGCUCAAGGCCAGGUGGGGUGAGGCCCUGGGCAGCCUGAGCUGGUGGGUGGCAGCCAGCCUACAGCAGGGGGUUGGGACCAGGUGGGCUUUAAGGUCCUCUCCAACCUAAGCCUUUCCAUGAUUCCAUGACUUGAGCUGGUGCUGGAGAUGAUGCUGGCAAGGGAACAGAUGACCACAAAGCCACCCACCCUUCCCACCUUACUUUGCUUUAAUCUGUGGAGAAGAUGCACUCUAACCUGCAGCACGAAGAUUUUUUUUUCCCCCAGCUCCAAAUGUACUAAUUUGGAGGAAAGCCUGAGUCCUCCUGAAGCUGGCAGGACUCCUUGUCAACAUGCACAAAACCCCAGAGCAGAUGGGCACAGAUUUUGGCUAAGCACAGCAGCAGUUGUUGAGUAUUACAGUCUGUCAUCUCAUCCAGGAGCAUCCCAGCAGCUGCCUUUGCUUCUCCCUUUACUGAGAGGUGUCAGUGUGCCUCUCCUUGCACCCAGCAUCGCACUGCUGCCACUGAAGUUUUGAUUUCUAUGGCCAAGAAUGUUUUCUAUUGCAAUCUCAGCUCUUGCUUUUAAAAGCCAUACAGAGAAAUGACAUACAUUCAAGUGUAGACAUGUUUCUUCAACAGCUCAUGCUUGCCCUUCCAUAACUUUCAUGUCCUAAGGAUCAUGGAAAACCUGGUAGUACAUUACUUUCAGUAGGCUGCCAGAAAGAGAGUUCAUUUAGUUUGAUGACAGAUUAAUACUGAUUCACAAAUUAAUUUUGUCUCUUUGUAUAUCAAGGGUGUCCACAACUUAUUUAAUUUGUAAUAAAUAUAAUUAUAGAAAUGAAUGAGCUAUCAAGAUUUUUAAAGUAUGAUCCAUCAAUGUUGGCAUGACUUGUAAUCCUGGUCAUUAUAAAUAAAAUGGGCCUUUUUCAAGAUGGAAUGCAAUUUUCCCUGUAGUUUGUCUCAUUAUUUUCUGACAUGUGGGUUAAUAUUAAAUUACAAUGCCUUAAUUUCCAAAUCAGUGCUCAAUUUGUAAAUAAGAGGUUAAUAAAUAACCUUUCCAGCUGGAGGCUUUCAUUAAAAUCAACUUUUAAAUGAGAUAUUUGCCUCUUGAUUGAAGCAUUGAUGGUACCAACAUUGUCUCAUCCUGUACACUGCAAAACAAAACAGAACAGGGCUUGCAUGGCUGCCAGAGAACACUAUGCAAGGAGUCAGUGUGCACCCAGUGUUUCCAUAUAGUCUUUCAGAUGUCUCACAUAACUGGAACACACCAUGACAUGC